rnacentral:tRNA from 1 species
GCUGGAGAGUCGGGCCUGCCUGUAAAGCAGGCGCAUCGCUGAGUGGGUUCGAAUCCCACCUCCCGCA